rnacentral:rRNA from 1 species
ACAUGCAAGUCGAGCGGAAAGGCCCUUCGGGGUACUCGAGCGGCCAACGGGUGAGUAACACGUGAGCAACCUGCCCCAGGCUUUGGGAUAACCCCGGGAGACCGGGGCUAAUACCGAAUAUGACCUCUGACCGCAUGGUUGGUGGUGGAAAAUUUUUCGGCUUGGGAUGGGCUCGCGGCCUAUCAGCUUGUUGGUGGGGUGAUGGCCUACCAAGGCGACGACGGGUAGCCGGCCUGAGAGGGCGACCGGCCACACUGGGACUGAGACACGGCCCAGACUCCUACGGGAGGCAGCAGUGGGGAAUAUUGCACAAUGGGCGGAAGCCUGAUGCAGCGACGCCGCGUGAGGGAUGACGGCCUUCGGGUUGUAAACCUCUUUCAGCAGGGACGAAGCGUAAGUGACGGUACCUGCAGAAGAAGCGCCGGCCAACUACGUGCCAGCAGCCGCGGUGAGACGUAGGGCGCGAGCGUUGUCCGGAUUUAUUGGGCGUAAAGAGCUCGUAGGCGGCUUGUCGCGUCGACCGUGAAAACUUGGGGCUCAACCCCAAGCCUGCGGUCGAUACGGGCAGGCUAGAGUUCGGUAGGGGAGACUGGAACUCCUGGUGUAGCGGUGAAAUGCGCAGAUAUCAGGAGGAACACCGGUGGCGAGGGCGGGUCUCUGGGCCGAUACUGACGCUGAGGAGCGAAAGCGUGGGGAGCGAGCAGGAUUAGAUACCCUGGUAGUCCACGCUGUAAACGUUGGCCGCUAGGUGUGGGGGGCCUCUCCGGUUCCCUGUGCCGCAGCUAACGCAUUAAGCGCCCCGCCUGGGGAGUACGGCCCCCAAGGUUAAAACUCAAAUGAAUUGACGGG